AUUGAACGCUGGCGGCAUGCUUUACACAUGCAAGUCGAACGGUAACAGGCCGCAAGGUGCUGACGAGUGGCGAACGGGUGAGUAAUGCAUCGGAACGUGCCCAGUCGUGGGGGAUAACGCAGCGAAAGCUGCGCUAAUACCGCAUACGAUCUAUGGAUGAAAGCGGGGGACCGUAAGGCCUCGCGCGAUUGGAGCGGCCGACGUCAGAUUAGGUAGUUGGUGGGGUAAAGGCUCACCAAGCCGACGAUCUGUAGCUGGUCUGAGAGGACGACCAGCCACACUGGGGCUGAGACACGGCCCAGACUCCUACGGGAGGCAGCAGUGGGGAAUUUUGGACAAUGGGGGCAACCCUGAUCCAGCAAUGCCGCGUGCAGGAAGAAGGCCUUCGGGUUGUAAACUGCUUUUGUACGGAACGAAACGGCUCUGGUUAAUACCCGGGGCUAAUGACGGUACCGUAAGAAUAAGCACCGGCUAACUACGUGCCAGCCGCCGCCGUAA
rnacentral:rRNA from 1 species